GGGGGGCUGGCUCUUUGGGGGGGCUGUUUUUUCUGGGGGGGAGGGGGGUUGGCUCUCUGGGGCCCCUGAGGCAGGUUGGGGCCCUUAGUGCCGGGCAGAGGAGGGUGGAGAUGUCAUGGCGGCCCAGCUUCCUCCUCCUCCUCUCGGGGAGCCCCUGUGAUGGCGCUGUGGGGGGGCCCCGGUUCCUGGCGGCGGGGGGGGCUCAGGGCUCGGGCUGCCCCUUCCUGUCUCCCUGGCGGGCAGGCCCUGAUUACUGGCCGGAUCUCCUGCUGCUCGGCUCCCGGUCCCUGCGCUCCCAGCUCGCACUCCUUCCCUUUGUCACCCUCCGUCCGACUGACCGCAUUUGCCUGUCGGGAUUUUUUUUUUCCUGCAAUGCCCUCCUCCCUCUCCUCGCGUUGACGUAGCGCCUAAGGCGGAGACUGGGAAUAAGUUACGGAAAAGGCGCAAGUGCGCGUGAAGAAUACGAGUAAGGGCGGGGGGAGUACUGCCAGCUCCUUCAUGACGUCCAACCGCGAGAUGGCCACGCCUACCACACUCGCCAGCUCCGAAGCACCAAUCAGAGCGCCGGAUAGCAGAGGGGCGGUGAUAACGGCUUCCGAAAGACCAAUAGAAAUCCACUCCACUCUCCACUCAGCGCUUUUUAUUGUUCCUCCCCCUUGUCUUAAUACGUGAGAUACCCGCACACGAUUGGCU